GAGACAGGGUCCAGACUCCUACGGGAGGCAGCAGUGGGGAAUAUUGCACAAUGGGCGCAAGCCUGAUGCAGCCAUGCCGCGUGUGUGAAGAAGGCCUUCGGGUUGUAAAGCACUUUCAGCGGGGAGGAAGGCGGUGAGGUUAAUAACCUCAUCGAUUGACGUUACCCGCAGAAGAAGCACCGGCUAACUCCGUGCCAGCAGCCGCGGUAAUACGGAGGGUGCAAGCGUUAAUCGGAAUUACUGGGCGUAAAGCGCACGCAGGCGGUCUGUCAAGUCGGAUGUGAAAUCCCCGGGCUCAACCUGGGAACUGCAUUCGAAACUGGCAGGCUAGAGUCUUGUAGAGGGGGGUAGAAUUCCAGGUGUAGCGGUGAAAUGCGUAGAGAUCUGGAGGAAUACCGGUGGCGAAGGCGGCCCCCUGGACAAAGACUGACGCUCAGGUGCGAAAGCGUGGGGAGCAAACAGGAUUAGAU
rnacentral:rRNA from 1 species